ACACAACAAGAUAAGAUAGGAGCCACUCGGGCAGAUCAUAGGAUAACCGCGGCACACAGGCCUGACACAGCAGCAGGAAGCAUCGUCUAGUACUCGUCACCCUCGUCUCCUUCCUCGCCCUCGUCGAACUCAGCGCCGACCUCCUCGUAGUCCUUCUCGAGCGCAGCCAGGUCCUCACGGGCCUCAGAGAACUCGCCCUCCUCCAUGCCCUCACCCACGUACCAGUGAACGAAGGCACGCUUGGCGUACAUGAGGUCAAACUUGUGGUCGAUGCGGGAGAACACCUCGACCACGCUGGUGGAGUUGGAGAUCAUGCACACGGCACGCUGCACCUUGGCCAGGUCACCGCCAGGCACCACGCUGGGGGGCUGGUAGUUGAUGCCGCACUUGAACCCA
rnacentral:lncRNA from 1 species